UUUAAUUGAAGAGUUUGAUCAUGGCUCAGAUUGAACGCUGGCGGCAGGCUUAACACAUGCAAGUCGAGCGGUAGCACAGGGGAGCUUGCUCCCUGGGUGACGAGCGGCGGACGGGUGAGUAAUGUCUGGGAAACUGCCUGAUGGAGGGGGAUAACUACUGGAAACGGUAGCUAAUACCGCAUAACGUCGCAAGACCAAAGAGGGGGACCUUCGGGCCUCUUGCCAUCAGAUGUGCCCAGAUGGGAUUAGCUAGUAGGUGGG
rnacentral:rRNA from 1 species